GAUGAACGCUGGCGGCGUGCCUAAUACAUGCAAGUCGAGCGAACAGACGAGGAGUUUGCUCUUCUGACGUUAGCGGCGGACGGGUGAGUAACACGUGGAUAACCUACCUAUAAGACUGGGAUAACUUCGGGAAACCGGAUCUAAUACCGGAUAACAUGUUGAACCGCAUGGUUCAACAGUGAAAGACGGUUUUGCUGUCACUUAUAGAUGGAUCCGCGCCGCAUUAGCUAGUUGGUAAGGUAACGGCUUACCAAGGCAACGAUGCGUAGCCGACCUGAGAGGGGGAUCGGCCACACUGGAACUGAGACACGGUCCAGACUCCUACGGGAGGCAGCAGUAGGGAAUUUUCCGCAAUGGGCGAAAGCCUGACGGAGCAACGCCGCGUGAGUGAUGAAGGUCUUCGGAUCGUAAAACUCUGUUAUUAGGGAAGAACAAAUGUGUAAGUAACUAUGCACGUCUUGACGGUACCUAAUCAGAAAGCCACGGCUAACUACGUG
rnacentral:rRNA from 1 species